AUACUUACCUGGACGGGGUCGAUGGAUGAUCCUGAAAAUCCAUGGCCUAGGGUAGGGACCUCCAUUGCACUUAGGAGGGGUGCUGCCUUAAGGUCUCCCCAAGUUGGGAGAGCCUACGUCAUGAUUUGUGAAGCGGGGGCCUGCGUUCGCGCGGCCCCUAA
rfam:Gossypium arboreum cultivar AKA8401 contig_10661_1, whole genome shotgun sequence.